rnacentral:rRNA from 1 species
GACGAACGCUGGCGGCGUGCCUAACACAUGCAAGUCAGGGAGAAAUCCGCCGCAAGGCGGAGAGUAAACCGGCGAACGGGUGAGUAACACGUAGGCAACUUGCCCUGUGGACGGGGAUAACCCCGCGAAAGCGGGACUAAUACCCGAUGCAGUUCCGUUGGAUCAUUCUGACGGAAUGAAAGGUUCCGAUGCAAGUCGGAAUGUCACAGGAGAGGCCUGCGUCCCAUUAGAUAGNGGCGGGU